ACCUCUGUACCCUAAUAUACAGGAGGUAGUGUGUUCCAAGUGCUGAAGAAAUGCAGCUCUUGUUCUUGAGGAGGUAGACCUGCAAACAAUUAUGCCUCGAUGACAUCAUGCUCGAGUGGACGUCUGGGGAAGGAGGCAGCACCUGGGAGAAUUGAAGACAGCCUCAGAUGAGUGGUGAUGCCUCCUCCACAGCUGAAUAUGAAUGAGGAGCUUUUCUGGGGGAUAAAAAUGAGCAAGAGCAAUAGGAGGCACCCUAAAAACAAAGAAUAGGCAUGCAGCAGCACUGGUUUUAGGGUUGGCAAGAUUUGGAAACUCAGAAGUAUUCCUGCUUGAAGAACUCCUUAUAAGGAAACUUCCCUCAUCUCACACACACAAAAAGCAGAGAUACUGAAACACUUGGCUGAGAUAUCAAGUCAUACUAGAAGAGACAAACGUCUGAUGAAAAGAUGGGGAAAGCAUUCUGUGAUGGGCCCCUCAUUCAUCCAAAAAGAAGUGGAGUUGACCCUCAAAAUAUGUCCAAAUAUUAAGUGACAUCAGUCAUUCACACACUUAUCCUGAGUCUCCACUCCUCCCUUCAGCUGAUGAAGAGUGCCAUUCGUCAGACCUUCUGGCAUGGUUCAUAUAUGUUCUGUUGGUGACGACAAAGCAUGCAAACAUGGAAACUUCAGCUCCUUCUUCUCAAUGUUGAUGUUUUCUGUUUUGUCCGGGGACAAGAUCUAGCCACUUCCCCCUUCAGGAACAGUCUGUGCAGUGAGUACGGUGUUAGCAUUUCCACCUCUGCCUUUCCACACAUGAAGAGCUGAGAGUGAAGACUGACUGAUGUGACUUGCCUCGGCUCAGACAGUGGCAGUGCCAGGCUUUGAACUGACGUGCGUCUGCUUCCAAAGGCAGCAUUUUUCCACUGUCUCAUAUUUUAGGCAGGAAGUAGCACACUUAAAAAAUUUUCCUUUCAGAGCUGGGCGGUGGUGGUGCACGCCUUUAAUCCCAGCACUUGGGAGGCAGAG